rnacentral:rRNA from 1 species
CGCACGUAAGUCAGAAACUCAAAGGAAUUGCCGGGGGCCCGCACAAGCGGUGGAGUAUGUGGUUUAAUUUGAUGCAACGCGAAGAACUUUACCAGGGCUUGACAUCCCGCGAAUCUCGGCGAAAGUUGAGAGUGCCUACGGGAACGCGGAGACAGGUGGUGCAUGGCUGUCGUCAGCUCGUGUCGUGAGAUGUUGGGUUAAGUCCCGCAACGAGCGCAACCCUNGUCCUUAGUUGCCAUCCUUAAGUGGGGCACUCUAGGGAGACUGCCGGUGAUAAACCGGAGGAAGGUGGGGAUGACGUCAAGUCAUCAUGCCCCAUAUGUCCUGGGCGACACACGUACUACAAUGGUCGGGACAGCGAGCAGCCAACUUGCGAAAGUGAGCUAAUCUCUCAAACCCGGCCUCAGUUCAGAUUGCAGGCUGCAACUCGCCUGCAUGAAGGAGGAAUCGCUAGUAAUCGCAGGUCAGCAUACUGCGGUGAAUCCGUUCCCGGGCCUUGUACACACCGCCCGUCACACCAUGGAAGUCGGCCAUGCCCGAAGUCAUUACUCUAACCGUUCGCGGAGGAGGGNGCCGAA